UACGGGGGGGGCAAGCGUUGUUCGGAAUUACUGGGCGUAAAGGGCGCGUAGGCGGCCAACUCAGUCGGACGUGAAAUCCCUCGGCUUAACCGGGGAAUGGCGUCCGAUACUGGAUGGCUCGAGUUUGGGAGAGGGAUGCGGAAUUCCAGGUGUAGCGGUGAAAUGCGUAGAGAUCGGGAGGAACAUCAGUGGCGAAGGCGGCCUUCUGGACCAGUACUGACGCUGAGGCACGAAAGCGUGGGGAGCAAACAGG
rnacentral:rRNA from 1 species